UGGGGAAUAUUGCGCAAUGGGGGGAACCCUGACGCAGCCAUGCCGCGUGAAUGAAGAAGGCCUUAGGGUUGUAAAGUUCUUUCGGUAUUGAGGAAGGUUGAUGUGUUAAUAGCACAUCAAAUUGACGUUAAAUACAGAAGAAGCACCGGCUAACUCCGUGCCAGCAGCCGCGGUAAUACGGAGGGUGCGAGCGUUAAUCGGAAUAACUGGGCGUAAAGGGCACGCAGGCGGUUAUUUAAGUGAGGUGUGAAAGCCCCGGGCUUAACCUGGGAAUUGCAUUUCAGACUGGGUAACUAGAGUACUUUAGGGAGGGGUAGAAUUCCACGUGUAGCGGUGAAAUGCGUAGAGAUGUGGAGGAAUACCGAAGGCGAAGGCAGCCCCUUGGGAAUGUACUGACGCUCAUGUGCGAAAGCGUGGGGAGCAAACAGGAUUAGAUACCCUGGUAGUCCACGCUGUAAACGCUGUCGAUUUGGGGGUUGGGGUUUAACUCUGGCGCCCGUAGCUAACGUGAUAAAUCGACCGCCUGGGGAGUACGGCCGCANGGUUA
rnacentral:rRNA from 1 species